AUACGGAGGAUGCAAGCGUUAUCCGGAUUUAUUGGGUUUAAAGGGUGCGUAGGCGGGACUGUAAGUCAGGGGUGAAAUACUGCAGCUUAACUGUAGCAUUGCCUUUGAAACUGCCGUUCUUGAGUACAGUUGAGGGAGGCGGAAUGGGGUGUGUAGCGGUGAAAUGCAUAGAUAUACCACAGAACGCCGAUUGCGAAGGCAGCUUACUAAGCUGUUACUGACGCUGAGGCACGAAAGCGUGGGGAUCAAACAGGAUUAGAUACCCUGGUAGUCCACGCUGUAAACGAUGAUUACUGGUUGUUAGCGAUAUAUAGCUAGUGACUGAGCGAAAGCAUUAAGUAAUCCACCUGGGGAGUACGUCGGCAACGAUGAAACUCAAAGGAAUUGACGGGG
rnacentral:rRNA from 1 species